rnacentral:rRNA from 1 species
UAGGGAAUCUUCGGCAAUGGGGGGAACCCUGACCGAGCAACGCCCCGUGAGUGAAGAAGGUUUUCGGAUCGUAAAGCUCUGUUGUUAAGGAAGAACGAGUGUGAGAAUGGAAAGUUCAUGCUGUGACGGUACUUAACCAGAAAGGGACGGCUAACUACGUGCCAGCAGCCGCGGUAAUACGUAGGUCCCGAGCGUUGUCCGGAUUUAUUGGGCGUAAAGCGAGCGCAGGCGGUUAGAAAAGUCUGAAGUGAAAGGCAGUGGCUCAACCAUUGUAGGCUUUGGAAACUGUUUAACUUGAGUGCAGAAGGGGAGAGUGGAAUUCCAUGUGUAGCGGUGAAAUGCGUAGAUAUAUGGAGGAACACCGGUGGCGAAAGCGGCUCUCUGGUCUGUAACUGACGCUGAGGCUCGAAAGCGUGGGGAGCGAACAGG